rnacentral:tRNA from 1 species
GCCUUCGUGGUGUGUGGUAGCAUACUCGGCUCGUAUUCGAGAGGUCCGGGUUCGAGUCUCGGCGAGAGCA